rnacentral:ribozyme from 1 species
GAAAGCCGUAUGAGGGAAAACCUCACGUACGGUUUGAUGAGGA